rnacentral:rRNA from 1 species
UAGGGAAUCUUGCGCAAUGGGCGAAAGCCUGACGCAGCAACGCCGCGUGGGGGAAGAAGGCCCUCGGGUCGUAAACCCCUUUCAGCAGGGACGAAAUUGACGGUACCUGCAGAAGAAGCCCCGGCCAACUACGUGCCAGCAGCCGCGGUAACACGUAGGGGGCAAGCGUUGUCCGGAUUUAUUGGGCGUAGAGGGCUCGUGGGCUGUUCAGUAAGUCAGGUGUGAAAACUCGAGGCUCAACCUCGAGACGCCACUUGAUACUGCUGUGACUAGAGUUCGGUAGAGGAGUGUGGAAUUCCUAGUGUAGCGGUGAAAUGCGCAGAUAUUAGGAGGAACACCAACAGCGAAGGCAGCACUCUGGGCCGAUACUGACGCUGAGGAGCGAAAGCGUGGGGAGCGAACAGG